GGCCUAUCAGCUUGUUGGUGGGGUAAUGGCCUACCAAGGCGACGACGGGUAGCCGGCCUGAGAGGGUGACCGGCCACACUGGGACUGAGAUACGGCCCAGACUCCUACGGGAGGCAGCAGUGGGGAAUAUUGCACAAUGGGCGCAAGCCUGAUGCAGCGACGCCGCGUGAGGGAUGACGGCCUUCGGGUUGUAAACCUCUUUCAAUAGGGACGAAGCGUGAGUGACGGUACCUAUAGAAGAAGCACCGGCCAACUACGUGCCAGCAGCCGCGGUAAUACGUAGGGUGCGAGCGUUGUCCGGAAUUACUGGGCGUAAAGAGCUCGUAGGUGGUUUGUCGCGUUGUCCGUGAAAACUCACAGCUUAACUGUGGGCGUGCGGGCGAUACGGGCUGACUUGAGUACUACAGGGGAGACUGGAAUUUCUGGUGUAGCGGUGGAAUGCACAGAUAUCAGGAAGAACACCGAUGGCGAAGGCAGGUCUCUGGGUAGUAACUGACGCUGAGGAGCGAAAGCAUGGGUAGCGAACAGGAUUAGAUACCCUGGUAGUCCAUGCCGUAAACGGUGGGCGCUAGGUGUGGGGUUCCUUCCACGGGCUCCGCGCCGUAGCUAACGCAUUAAGCGCCCCGCCUGGGGAGUACGG
rnacentral:rRNA from 1 species